rnacentral:pre_miRNA from 2 species
CUCCGUUUCAAAAUUAUUGUCUUAAAUUUGUCUAGAUAUAAAUGUAUCUAGUCAAAUUUUAGUAUUUAGAUACAUUCAUUUUUAGACAAAACUAAGAUAAGAAUUUUGGGACGGGG